rnacentral:rRNA from 2 species
CACCUCGAUGUCGGCUCAUCGCAUCCUGGGGCUGUAGCAGGUCCCAAGGGUUGGGCUGUUCGCCCAUUAAAGCGGUACGCGAGCUGGGUUCAGAACGUCGUGAGACAGUUCGGUCCCUAUCCGGCGCGGGCGUAGGAUAUUUGAGAGGAGCUGUCCUUAGUACGAGAGGACCGGGAUGGACGGACCGCUGGUGUAUCUGUUGGGUACCAAGCCCAUGGCAGAGUAGCCAAGUCUGGACGGGAUAAACGCUGAAGGCAUCUAAGCGUGAAGCCCCCCUCAAGAUGAGAUAUCCCAUCGCAAAAGCGAGUAAGACCCCUUGAAGACGACGAGGUAGAUAGGUUAGAGGUGGAAGUGCAGUAAUGUAUGGAGCUGACUAAUACUAAUCGGUCGAGGGCUUAACCAAAA